UUAGUGAAUAAAGAUGUCAACGAGCGAUUACGUUGCGGCUCGUCAUCGGGCACUUUGCUUUUAUAAAUGCAAGCUGCCUUUUGAAGGGCAACACUGUGGUCGGCCAAAU
rnacentral:pre_miRNA from 1 species